UUCGCCCUUAGGGUUUGAUUCUGGCUCAGGACGAACGCUGGCUGCGUGCUUAACACAUGCAAGUCGAACGCUGAAGCUGGGUGCUUGCACCUGGUGGAUGAGUGGCGAACGGGUGAGUAACACGUGAGUAACCUGCCCCUGAUUUCGGGAUAAGCCUGGGAAACUGGGUCUAAUACCGGAUACGACCUUCCUUCGCAUGAGGGUUGGUGGAAAGUUUUUCGAUCGGGGAUGGGCUCGCGGCCUAUCAGCUUGUUGGUGGGGUAAUGGCCUACCAAGGCGACGACGGGUAGCCGGCCUGAGAGGGCGACCGGCCACACUGGGACUGAGACACGGCCCAGACUCCUACGGGAGGCAGCAGUGGGGAAUAUUGCACAAUGGGGGAAACCCUGAUGCAGCGACGCAGCGUGCGGGAUGACGGCCUUCGGGUUGUAAACCGCUUUCAGCAGGGAAGAAGCGAAAGUGACGGUACCUGCAGAAGAAGUACCGGCUAACUACGUGCCAGCAGCCGCGGUAAUACGUAGGGUACGAGCGUUGUCCGGAAUUAUUGGGCGUAAAGAGCUCGUAGGUGGUUGGUCACGUCUGCUGUGGAAACGCAACGCUUAACGUUGCGCGUGCAGUGGGUACGGGCUGACUAGAGUGCAGUAGGGGAGUCUGGAAUUCCUGGUGUAGCGGUGAAAUGCGCAGAUAUCAGGAGGAACACCGGUGGCGAAGGCGGGACUCUGGGCUGUAACUGACACUGAGGAGCGAAAGCAUGGGGAGCGAACAGGAUUAGAUACCCUGGUAGUCCAUGCCGUANACGUUGGGCACUAGGUGUGGGGGACAUUCCACGUUCUCCGCGCCGUAGCUAACGCAUUAAGUGCCCCGCCUGGGGAGUACGGUCGCAAGGCUAANNACUCAAGGAAUUGACNGGGGCCCCGCACAGCGGCGGAGCAUNGCGAUUAAUUUCGAUGCACGCGAAGAACCUUACCNAGGCUGACAUACACUGGGACGUUUCUGGAACCAGUCUUCUCUUUGGGAGCUGUGUACAAGUGGUGCAUGGUUGUCGUCAGCUCGUGUCCUGAGAUGUUGGGUUAAGUCCCGCACGAGCGCACCCUCGUUCUAUGUUGCAGCACGUGAUGGUGGAAACUCAUAGAGACUGCCNNGGUCACUCCGAAGAAAGUGGGGAUGAC
rnacentral:rRNA from 1 species